rnacentral:rRNA from 1 species
ACGCUUGAAGUCAGUCGCGUUGGCCGGAAAUCAGCCCUGGUUCUCCUGGGUGUACUUUCUGGUUAACGGGCCAGCAUCAGUUUUGACCGGCGGAAAAAGGCCAAGGGAAUGUGGCACCUUCGGGUGUGUUAUAGCCCUUGGUCGUAUACGUCGGUUGGGACUGAGGAAUUCAGCACGCCGAAAGGCCGGGGUUCGCCCACGUUCGUGCUUAGGAUGCUGGCAUAAUGGCUUUAAUCGACCCGUCUUGAAACACGGACCAAGGAGUC